UGUCCAGCAAUAAUCACUAAGUAUACUAAAGUAGCUAAAGACAUAAGGUCUGAAUGUGAGAAGAGCAGCGUUGUCAUAAGGGCGAAGCGGUGUGAGGGAGGCCAGUCCUCUGCAGGUAAUCACAGUCCAGUGAGUAACUGAAGGUCACCUUUGUUCAGCAUAAGAAAUAAAAUUCUCUGUUCCUUUCA